GAUGAACGCUGGCGGCGUGCCUAAUACAUGCAAGUCGAGCGAACAGACGAGGAGCUUGCUCCUCUGACGUUAGCGGCGGACGGGUGAGUAACACGUGGAUAACCUACCUAUAAGACUGGGAUAACUUCGGGAAACCGGAGCUAAUACCGGAUAAUAUAUUGAACCGCAUGGUUCAAUAGUGAAAGACGGUUUUGCUGUCACUUAUAGAUGGAUCCGCGCCGCAUUAGCUAGUUGGUAAGGUAACGGCUUACCAAGGCGACGAUGCGUAGCCGACCUGAGAGGGGGAUCGGCCAACCUGGAACUGAGACCCGGGCCAGACCCCUACGGGAGGCAGCAGUAGGGAAUCUUCCGCAAUGGGCGAAAGCCGGAGGGAGCAACGCCGGGGGGGUGAAGAAGGGCUUCGGAUCGUAAAACCUUUUUAUUAGGGAAAAAAAAAUGUGUAAGUAACUAUGCACGUUUUGACGGUACCUAAUCAGAAAGCCCCGGCUAACUACGU
rnacentral:rRNA from 1 species